rnacentral:rRNA from 1 species
UACGUAGGGGGGCAAGCGUUGUCCGGAAUUAUUGGGCGUAAAGGGUGCGUAGGCGGCGCGGUAGGUCGGGUGUGAAAUCUCGGGGCUUAACUCCGAAACUGCAUUCGAUACUGCCGUGCUUGAGGACUGGAGAGGAGACUGGAAUUUACGGUGUAGCGGUGAAAUGCGUAGAUAUCGUAAGGAAGACCAGUGGCGAAGGCGGGUCUCUGGACAGUUCCUGACGCUGAGGCACGAAGGCCAGGGGAGCAAACGGG